rnacentral:lncRNA from 1 species
GAAUUAAUAGGAGAUAUGCAUCAGUAUAUUUUAAUUUAGUAAAAUCUUGGUCAGGAUAAUCCAUGUGAUAGAUAUGAAAGGUUGAAAUACAAUGUAGUCGACUAUAUUAGGGUUGGCAGUCAAACCCUAGGUCAUCUUGAGCAUUAGGAUCAAAGUGAUGAAUUAUACGAUUACCAUACGCUAGUAGGUUUUAGAAUAUUACUUUGCAAUCUUUCCGCCUAUCC